GCGUGGGAAUCUACCCAGUAGUGGGGGACAACAGUUGGAAACGACUGCUAAUACCGCAUACGCCCUACGGGGAAAGCAGGGGCUUCUUCGGAACCUUGUGCUAUUGGAUGAGCCCGCGUGAGAUUAGCUAGUUGGUGGGGUAAUGGCCUACCAAGGCAACGAUCUCUAGCUGGUUUGAGAGGAUGAUCAGCCACACUGGGACUGAGACACGGCCCAGACUCCUACGGGAGGCAGCAGUGGGGAAUAUUGCACAAUGGGCGAAAGCCUGAUGCAGCCAUGCCGCGUGUGUGAAGAAGGCCU
rnacentral:rRNA from 1 species